rnacentral:misc_RNA from 1 species
AAACGGCCGAAGUCCUUCUCUUCUUCCUUCUCCCCGCUGUGUGGCUGCAGCCCCUGCCGCCCGACCGCCCCGCUCCUCAGAACACCGAGCGCGCGAGAAAGACAACCAAAGCAAGCACGGGCAGGGCGAGAGGCGUUCUCGUCCGUGCAACCUUCUACACGCGCGGGCACACGCACGCCCAAGCUGCGCAGCAGCUUGCAGGAAAAAUGGAGAAUCACGCGUCGGCGUCCAUGUAUAUCCCUUCAUCGAAGGUGCUGGCCCGCUUGCAGCGACAUGCAACAACGAUGGAAAAGUGGAAGGCCGGCAACGUCAGUGCCAACGGCGGUUCUGGACUCACUGCAGCGUCUGUGGCAUUGCCUCCCGCGAGCAGCAGCAGCCCCUUCGGCGCUUAUCCAAAAACGGCGACCAUGGAUACGCUUGCCGCGCUGUCGGCCUCAUCAACCAAGAUGGAUGGGGCGGCAGUGCUCGUCAAGAGAUCCGCGACUGUGCCAAAGCCGUCUGGUGCGGCUGGCAGCUCUCCGUCUGCCCACUGCACCCCCUCCUCUUGCAUGGGCAAUUCCACCUCGCACGAUUUUCAGAAGAGUGUGUCGCCGCUGUCGGAGAGCACCACCCGUGGCGCUGCUGCUGUCGCCCACACCGCAGCCUCCGACGCCGCAAUGCCACCAUCACUGGCGCCAUCGGCAACGCCACCGAGCACGUUCAAGUCUCCCGCAGCGUCUCCAGUCUUCUCGCCCCAGAUGCCCGGCAGCAAGGCCAACAGCAGUCGCGCCGCUCUUGGAGUCUCCAUUGCCAUCGAGACCUGUGGCGCAGCGUCGCAGACGUUGUCUGCGCCAGCGGCAACGCCUUCAUCGCCAGCACUCUCACCCUCAGCGCCGUUGCCCCCAGCAUCCGCGUGGCUUCUUCCCCGGGAUGACGUGACGUACAUCUUAUCAUCCCUGACGUGGAACGUGGACCUCCUGCGGUUGCUACUCCCACACGCGCCGUGCCCGCUGCACCUCCCAGGCGCCGAACCUCUUGCGGAGGUGCCAUCUCCCACAGCCGAAGAACUCGCCACAUCGACAGCACUGGCUGCCGCCCCUGCGUCGCCCGCGCCGCCUAGUAGCGAUAUGAACGAAGAGGAAGCGAACGCGGAAGCAGGGCAAGAGGGUUUGACCGUGAAGUGCGCUGCCCAGAGCAGCGUGGAUAGCGCGGCAACGGUGGGUGGGGCAUCUUCAGCGGGCAAGCUGCAAUCUCUAAAGGCCGAUAAGCGCGGCGACGCAUCGAGCGUCUCGUCGAAGAUGCACACAAGCGGUGCAUAUGCACAAGAGGCAUACCACACACGUGACAGCCCUGCUGCUGUCACGGAUAUCGCCCCCAACCCACGCUCCCUGUCACCGCCGCCGGAGUCGUCGUUGUCGUCGCUCACGACGAGCGUCGCGGUGUCCGGGACGUCAGGUGCUGUCUCCACCGUGCCGCUCACCUGGUCGCAAUACCUUUUUCGCGGGUCUGGCGGCGGUGUUAGAGCCGUCGUGGGAAGUCAGCGUAACGGUGCGACUUUAGUGCUUGGCGACGACACCGCUCGAGAGCGACAGCAGCCACAGCAGCUGACGUCGCUUGUCCGUGGGCAGGCCCCGCCCCCGGCAUUCGUGCACGGGGUUGGCAGAGGCCUCCCGCACAGUCAUAGUGACGGGGCGCUGGUGCGCAAACCGAAAACGUCUGCGGGCACGCCAGCAGCGGCACCCAACUCCGCCUACGUAUCCUCCUCCAUCUUCCACGCGCAGUACCUCCCCUCGCUGGAAGAGUUUCAGCGCAAGUUGGAGGAGCACAAGCACCAGCAGCAGCUUCUCCUUCGCCAGCAGCAGCAGCAACCACCGGCCUUGUCAGCCACCCGCCUUCAGCAGCACCUCCAGCAGCAACAGCAGCAGCAAUCCCAGCCCCACCAUUACCCCUGCCGUCGUGCGGCGACGAACAAGACGUUCUUCUACUCGCCGGCGCCGUCUGUCCUGUCCUUUGCCACCACUGCCGCGACGACGACCGUCAACGAGAACGCCACCGAUGAGGAUUGCGAGGAAGAGCAGCAGCGCUGUCAGCUCUCGUGCAGCGGCGCAACGGUGACGUCACCGAGAAGCCCGCCACUGCCGCUGGCAGCACACCGCAGCCACGCAGCAGCCGUCUCGGGUAUGUGGUCAUCGUCGUUGCCGCCCUCUCCGCCGGCAUCUUCCUCCGCGUCGCAGGCGCGCCGUGGCCUUCAGCAGCCCCAGCGCCUGCUUGGCUGCAGCGAGCUUCGCCUGCGCCCCUGUACCUCCUCCACCUUCUCCCUCGACAACCUUGACAGCGGCGGUGGCAGCGAUAACGAGGAGGCGAGGGGCGGGAUCGGUGCUACCGCAGUGACCCCUUGGAUGUUGUACCCUACCCCUCACUCAUCGCGUCCGUCGCCCUCGCAGCCACAGCAACCGUCGAUGAUGAUGCUGCGAGCCGCCGAUCAGCUGCGUGGGCCCAUCGUGUCCUCUUCGGCACAAAGGCGGUCGCCACUGUUGUUGCACACUGGCGGUGGUCGCACCAGCCACGACAGUAGAGGGAGCUCGCCCGCCACCGCGCGUGAUGACGACGACGACGAUAGCGACGAAGAGAAUGAAGAGGACGUGGAAUGGGCCUUGAGCCGUCGCGGCGCCAGCGGCAGCGGCGGCGUCCGGCCGUCGAGCUCGUUUCCGGCCUCGCCGACGGUCAGCAUCAGCUCCAUGUCCUUCAGCCGGGUGUGGUCGAGCACCUUGAGCGGACGCGCGACCCCGCGCACUACCCUCGCCACCGGCGUCGGUAGUAGUGUGGCGAACCACAACCCACACUUCAACGGCAGCAGCUUCGGCGGUGUCGGCUACGCCUCGCCCUAUUCGGCCACCAAAGGUGGCAAGAACGCGCGCCGCAGACGGAAAGCGACAUGCACGCGGAGGCGGCGUAUAAUGCGUGUCUACGUGCCCAGCAUCACGGAAGGACCAAAGGCGGCGAGCCUGUACACCGCACCGACCGCGGAGGCGCAGGAACUGCUGCUGCAGCUGCAGCACCGCGCAGCGAUGUCGUUGCUUUCCGGCUCCACGGCGAGACCCAUCGCAGAACACAGCGCGACAGCCACCGCCGUCUCCUCCGCGUUGCCCGCGACGACAGCAUCAGCGACGUCCCCGGCGAUUCAGCCGCGCGGUGUCGCCGCCUCCCCUCGCCCAAGCACGUUUGCAGAGGCGGCACGCGCGAAGAGCGGGAAUGGGGGCGGUACCGCUGCCGGCGUGCUGACGCCGGGACAGGCACAGCGGCAGCAGCGCGGCUUCACAGGCCCCAACGUCUUGUCCCCCAUGGCACCCCGAAACCCCGGAGAAGCAGAGCAGACGCCGCAGCUCUUGACGCUGCCGCAGUCGCUGCGAAGCCGCGAAACCGCCACAGACCUGCUCAACUCAUCGUGGUCAGGCGUUGCGGCAGCUCCACCAUCGGCAGCAGCCGCAGCCCCGACACCGAGGUCCUUUACUUCUGCUGGGAGCAGCAGCGAUGGCGGGCCUGGCGACUUCGGUGACGAAGUCGGCGGUCCUAGUCGGGCUGAUGCUUCAAUGAGCACAACGGCAGACACAUCAGCAGAGGCGUAUCAUCGGCAGUUGAGUGCACCGGCAUCCGCAGCCGGGUCCGUGACGCCUGUGGAGCUGCCGCAGUGGGUGCGAGAGCGGCCGCUGUCCGCCUUGUACUACCAGCCGUGGGGGCUGGAGCUGCUGGCACGCUACGAGGCGUCGCGGCACGAGCAGCAGCUGGCGAGAGCACGAACGCUUCGUCGCGUGGGGCCGGGUGUCGGCAGCAGCGCUGCUGCAGCAGGUGCCGCUGUAUCAGAGGUCAGUGUUAGCGGGAACAAGUCCAGUCCAGCAGCAUCGAUGCACAGCAGCAGCGCCACGUCGCCAUACACGAUGUUGUCGCCUGCUGCAGCGACGGCAGCGCAGCAUAUGCCUGUGCUCUCGCGCCCCUCUCUCGGUACGAGUCGUGGCGGCUGCACCAACACCGCAGCAGCAGGAGAAGCGCCACCAACGUCAUCGCCCAGCGCCCCGCGUGUUUCCUGGGCAGCGGCGCUUCGUCAACCACAGCGCGCGAGCCUCACCUCCGGCAGCAGCGGCGGGGUCGCCUCCACCGCGGCGUCGGCGGCGGCGAGCACGAUUACGGCAACAACAACGAUGAACAACAGCUCGACAGCGACCACAGCAACGGCGGCCGUGGGCCUGAUGCAGCGGCAGCGACCGCUGCAGCUGCCAGCGGUCGUGCCCGAGUGGCCGCCAGAGCUCUCGGCCGCGGAGGAGAUGGAUGCCUGGGAGGAGGUAUACUACUUUGGCGGGGUCGCCACGGCGCCAUCAUCGUCACAGCAGGAGCGGCAGCAACAGCAGCGCCAGACACGCCGCUCUGCAACAAAGUCUCGCGAUCGUGGGGCGAGCGGCACCAAGAAGGGCCACGCAGAAGGCAGGCAUGGGACAUGGACGACGGAUUUGGGAGGCCGCGUGGGCGGGUCCUCUGGUCAGGUGAAGGGCCUCGGUAGCAACACUCUUGUGACGUGCUCGGCGGCGGCCUCAGCAGCGGUGCUUAAGCGGCAGCAGUGGUGGCUCAACGAGGAAAUACAGCCUCCGACGCUGUACCUGAGUCGGCAGCGGCGCUCGUCGCGUCGCCGCUCCCGGGUGGCGUACCCAAGCGACACGUUCCGCAGCAGCACCGCGCGCCGCGCCGGCGCCACCUCAGCUGCGGCGGAGCUGUUUGGCAGACACAGGGAUGCGCAUCCCACCCCGACCGCCGACGCGACCGCCGCAGCGCCAACUGGCGUGCAGGCAUUGGGAGAGGCGGUGCCGGUGUCACAUGCAGAGGCAAACCCACCUGCAAGCAGCAGUCUCACCUUCGCCUCUUCCGUGAGCAGAAGCGACGUGAUCCUGUACAGCGACGGCUACCCGCGCAAGAAGGCCGCCCAAUUAUUCUACCCGGCGCCCUCCCUGCACGGGGUCGGGGCCCCGCUGCCAUCGCCUUUCACAAAACUUGACCACCGCACCAUCGGCCAGGGCACCGGCACCAGCGGUCAUGCGGCCGCCCUGCUGCCAGUGUCAGCGGCUGUGGGCACUGAUGUGAUGCAGCGAGGCGGUGACAUCGCCGACGCACAGCAGAAACAGCAGCACGUGGGGUGGGGCAACCGCGCCGCGGAGGACGAGCAGGUAGAGAUGGGGACGAGUGCGACACAGCUGGAGGGCAGUGCCGUCGAGCAGGUGGUCGACAACAGCGGCUGCGACAGUGGCGAAGAGGCUGAUGCGGCUGGGUCGGGGCUAGGAGGGCAUCCGCCGGCUUGGUCGUCGGCUGACAAUCCCCACCGUUCGAGUAACGGCCGCAUGAGUGGUGCAGCGGACUCGACGUCGACCACCCUCGCCGCCACCUGCGCGUCAACACCGGCAGCGGCGUCACCGGUAGACGUGACUGCACCACGGCCACGCGCUGAUGUGGACGUCAUCUUCUUUCUUCAGAAGUUCAUGCGUGCGGUGCUGAUCGUCUUCAUCGCGCAGGUGCGCCUGCAGCAGCUGCAGCAACACCGGGAACGCGAACUGCAAGCGAGCCCUCUCCACGGUGCGACGUGUCCUGCGGGGGCCCACCUACUGGACCAGCAAGCGCAGGUUCAGCGGAUGAAAGCCAAGGACCGGGACGGCAGCCGCUCCAGCGGCGGGGACCCGGCAGCGGCAGCAGAGGCGUCGGAUGGAGGGGGGCUCUCGAAGCUGGAGCGUAGCGCCUUGGGCUUCGUGCGCCACUACUUGGCAGACUAUCGGCACAUGAUCACCGCGUACGUCAUGCGCGACGACCGCGAGGUGGCACGGCGCUCGGCGCAGGCCAUCCUGUCCCCUCCCCAAUCAGCCGCUUCGGCUCUGUCGAUGAUGCCGCCGUCGGCUGUCGCUGCACCAGGAGCGACAAGCAGAGGGGCCAGCUCAGCGCCGGACCCCCUGUUCCAGCAAGACGUUUUAGCACGGUGGCUGCAUGCGACUCGAGUGAAGACGGUGUACGAGGAAGCUGUUAGAGUGGCCACCAGCGGCUUUCCAGGCGACGCGGACGCGAACCCACCGGCGACGCCGGUCGACGACGUGGAGUCGCUUCGCACGGCGCAGGUGUACAUCAGCGGCAAGGACGCUGCGUGGCAGCCGCUGCUGAUGGAGCUCCUGCAGGUGAGCCGCGUGGUGCAGUGCUACAGCGAUGGCCCGGUUGUCGCGGCAACAGGCUCAGCGCCGUCAGCAUCUGCAACGUCACCACAGCGGCUUCUACUGGCGAGCCUGGAAAAGUUCUUGGCCCAGCCGACACUGCCGUUGCUUCGCCAUGCCGGAUCUGGCGCGUCCGCAACGGCGCAGGCGGUGACGACGACCCCAGCAAGCUCGGCUGCUUCCUCGACGGGCACCGCCACAGCCGCGUCAGGCUCUCUUGCAUCCGACUUGCGCACGACGACAACUCCGUCGCUCACGCCAGCGCAGGAGGCAGCGGCAGCGCUAAUGGUGGAGGAAAGCGACGCCUUUCGGGCCUACCUUCUAUCCGGGUAUCUGAGAGAGGACACCGCCGCCGAUGGCAGCAGCGCGACAGCGAGCGCCACCUUUGCCGCCAAGACAACGACGACGGUGCUGCGUCACAGCCAGAGUGCGCCAACGCUCUCGGCCAGAGUAAUGCAGCAGCGGCAACAUCCAUCGGUGUCCUCCGCAGCCGUGAUGCCACCCUCCACAGUGCUGCAUGCGAUGAGCAGCCAUCCACAGCUCCAGCAGCCGCAGUCACCGAGCCUGCUCUUCAACACGGGCUCGCUGCUGCAGCCCUUGACGUGGUACCCGUACGCUUACAUGCCAGGCACCGCGAACCCCUACGCCGAGAGCGCGGACUCCAACUCCACCCGCAUAACACCAGCCAAGGCCGCCACCGCGUCCUCCAUGACGCUCUAUGUGACGAUGCUGCCGCUGAGCGGGCGGCUGCUGUGGCGGUGGGUGGUGCCGGCCGAGGACACGGACAACUUCAACCUCUCCGUGUUUUUUCAAUCGUCGCUCUUUUCCUUCAUGCAAGGUGGUCCCUUGCCGAUGCCGUCUGCCGCGCCUGAAUGGCAUGCUGCCGCCGCCGCCGUUGGACACGGCGCGGCGGCGUACGCACCGACGCCGAUGGCGAUGCUGAUGGCACCAUCGCCGUCACCGCACCCGUCGCUGACGUGGCCGCCAGCGCUGGCCACUCGCAUCGAUGCGCAGCUGCGCAACGACGCCUUCAGAAUCGCGUGGGGUGGGGUGUCAUCGCCGUGCAUCUGCGGCACUGCGGCGGCCUCCGUCCGCAAAGACCAUAGAUUCGGUUCGGAUUUGUGGGGCGAGAUGCCGGAGGUCACGCUCGUGCACUGCUCUGCUGGCAUGCACCGCUCGUGCGGCAUCUUGGUAGCUUUUCUGCUCUGGUUGCUAUAUCAAUGCCGGCAAGUACUCCGCACUGAGCAGACUCUCGGUCUCGGGCCGCUGAGCUGCACGAGUGCCCCGGCACCACCGCUGCGUGUUGGCGCCGAAGCCGCCCACGACGCUGCUGUGAAAGCACUGCUACUUGACGACGUGGACGCACUCGCACCCGCAGCCGCGUCAGCAGCGGACGGCGGGGAUGAGGAGCAGCCGGAGCAGCGUACGAAGAACACCGCCGCAGACGCCGACGCACCGUGGUUAACGAGUCGCCUUCUUCACCGCACCAUUCGCCACGUUCAGCAGCAGCGCAGCAUCGCGGUGCCCAUCCGAACGGUGCAGUGCCUGCUGCAGUCCUUUGCGAAUGAGCUGCGGCUGAACUAGCGACUCGCACACGCCCCGAUGCACGUGCAGACGCCUGGCAAUGGCGAAGGAGGCGGAGGUGAGAGCUUGUCCGGCGAAGGGUGGUGAAGAAGGCAGGGAAGGAGGGAGGGAGGGAGUUGUCUCUUCUCAUGUGCGCAUGCAUCC